UGGGGAAUAUUGGGCAAUGGGCGAAAGCCUGACCCAGCAACGCCGCGUGAAGGAAGAAGGCUUUCGGGUUGUAAACUUCUUUGACAGGGGAAGAAACAAAUGACGGUACCCUGAAAACAAGCCACGGCUAACUACGUGCCAGCAGCCGCGGUAAUACGUAGGUGGCAAGCGUUGUCCGGAUUUACUGGGUGUAAAGGGCGUGUAGGCGGGAUUGCAAGUCAGAUGUGAAAUUUGUGGGCUCAACCCACAAACUGCAUUUGAAACUGCAGUUCUUGAGUGAUGGAGAGGCAGGCGGAAUUCCUAGUGUAGCGGUGAAAUGCGUAGAUAUUAGGAGGAACACCAGUGGCGAAGGCGGCCUGCUGGACAUUAACUGACGCUGAGGCGCGAAAGCGUGGGGAGCAAACAGG
rnacentral:rRNA from 1 species